rnacentral:rRNA from 1 species
CAGUCGCCGCGGUAAAACGAAGGGGGCUAGCGUUGCUCGGAAUUACUGGGCGUAAAGGGAGCGUAGGCGGAUCGUUAAGUUGGGGGUGAAAGCCCGGGGCUCAACCUCGGAACUGCCUUCAAUACUGGCGAUCUUGAGUAUGAGAGAGGUGUGUGGAACUCCGAGUGUAGAGGUGAAAUUCGCAGAUAUUCGGAAGAACACCAGUGGCGAAGGCGACACACUGGCUCAUUACUGACGCUGAGGCUCGAAAGCGUGGGGAGCAAACAGGAUUAGAUACCCCCGUAGUCCCUGUCUCUUAUAC